GACGAACGCUGGCGGCGUGCUUAACACAUGCAAGUCGAACGGUGAAGCGCCUUCCUUUUUGGUGGGUGUGGAUGAGUGGCGAACGGGUGAGUAACACGUGAGUAACCUGCCCCCUUCUUCUGGAUAACCGCAUGAAAGUGUGGCUAAUACGGGAUAUUCUGGGUCUGUCGCAUGAUGGGUCUGGGAAAGAUAUUGUUUCGGUGGGGGAUGGGCUCGCGGCCUAUCAGCUUGUUGGUGGGGUGAUGGCCUACCAAGGCGGUGACGGGUAGCCGGCCUGAGAGGGUGGACGGUCACACUGGGACUGAGACACGGCCCAGACUCCUACGGGAGGCAGCAGUGGGGAAUAUUGCACAAUGGGCGCAAGCCUGAUGCAGCGACGCCGCGUGAGGGAUGGAGGCCUUCGGGUUGUGAACCUCGUUCGCCAGUGAAGCAGGCCUGCCUCGUUUGUGGGUGGGUUGACGGUAGCUGGAUAAGAAGCGCCGGCUAACUACGUG
rnacentral:rRNA from 1 species